AGUGGGGAAUAUUGGACAAUGGGGGAAACCCUGAUCCAGCCAUGCCGCGUGUGUGAAGAAGGCCUUUUGGUUGUAAAGCACUUUAAGCAGUGAAGAAGACCUAACGGUUAAUACCCGUUAGCGAUGACAUUAGCUGCAGAAUAAGCACCGGCUAACUCUGUGCCAGCAGCCGCGGUAAUACAGAGGGUGCAAGCGUUAAUCGGAAUUACUGGGCGUAAAGCGAGCGUAGGUGGCUUGAUAAGUCAGAUGUGAAAUCCCCGGGCUUAACCUGGGAACUGCAUCUGAUACUGUUAAGCUAGAGUAGGUGAGAGGGAAGUAGAAUUCCAGGUGUAGCGGUGAAAUGCGUAGAGAUCUGGAGGAAUACCGAUGGCGAAGGCAGCUUCCUGGCAUCAUACUGACACUGAGGCUCGAAAGCGUGGGUAGCAAA
rnacentral:rRNA from 1 species